GGCGCCUUCGUCUAGCGGCCUAGGACAUCGCCCUCUCACGGCGAAAACACGGGUUCGAUUCCCGUAGGCGUCACCC
rnacentral:tRNA from 1 species